UACCACGGGACCAGCGGUCCGGGGGCAUGGGGAUGGGGGGGUAGCCGCGCGGCAGUUUGAACGGCGAAAAAUGGGAAAGAUCGGGGGCCGCUUAGUAGGCUUUGCCGGUUUCGGCCGUAACUCAUGAUCCGGGCCUCCGAUUCCGUUUCCGUUUGGUCCCACGGGACCAGCGGUCCGGGGGCAUCGGGACGGGGGGGUAGCCGUGCGGCGGUUUGAUCGCCGAAAAAUGGGUAAGAUCAGGGCCGUUUGGCCCGUUUUGCCGGUUUCGGCCCCCCGGGGGGCGGUUCAUGCCCCGGGGGGGACAGCGGGGCGGGAUCGGCACACGGCGGGUGAGGUGGUCGGGUUCGUGCGGGUGCGGUCGGCGGCGGGGGCGGCCGGGGGGCUAUAGCGCACGGUCUCGGGGGCCGCUAAGAAGGGGCCGUAACUCAUGAUCGGGGCCCCCGAUUCCGUUUCCGUUUCGUACCACGGGACCAGCGGUCCGGGGGCAUCGGGAUGGGGGGGUAGCCGCGCGGCAGUUUGAACGGCGAAAAAUGGGCAAGAUCGGGGGCCGCUUAGUAGGCUUUGCCGGUUUCGGCCGUAACUCAUGAUCCGGGCCUCCGAUUCCGUUUCCGUUUGGUCCCACGGGUCCAGCGGUCCGGGGGCAUCGGGACGGGGGGGUAGCCGUGCGGCGGUUUGAUCGCCGAAAAAUGGGUAAGAUCGGGGCCGUUUGGCCCGUUUUGCCGGUUUCGGCCCCCCGGGGGGCGGUUCAUGCCCCGGGGGGGACAGCGGGGCGGGAUCGGCACACGGCGGGUGAGGUGGUCGGGUUCGGGCGGGUGCGGUCGGCGGCGGAGGCGCCCGGGGGGCUAUAGCGCACGGCCUCGGGGGCCGCAAAGAAGGGGCCGUAACUCAAGAUCGGGGCCCCCGAUUCCGUUU
rnacentral:lncRNA from 1 species